rnacentral:rRNA from 1 species
AGAACGAACGCUGGCGGCAGGCUUAACACAUGCAAGUCGAACGCACUCUUCGGAGUGAGUGGCAGACGGGUGAGUAAUGCGUGGGAAUCUACCUAGUUCUACGGAAUAACAGUUGGAAACGACUGCUAAUACCGUAUACGCCCUACGGGGGAAAGAUUUAUCGGAAUUAGAUGAGCCCACGUAAGAUUAGCUAGUUGGUGAGGUAAUGGCUCACCAAGGCGGCGAUCUUUAGCUGGUCUGAGAGGAUGAUCAGCCACACUGGGACUGAGACACGGCCCAGACUCCUACGGGAGGCAGCAGUGGGGAAUAUGGACAAUGGGCGCAAGCCUGAUCCAGCCAUGCCGCGUGAGUGAUGAAGGCCGUUAGGGUUGUAAAGCUCUUUCGAGUAGGGAAGAGUAAGUGACGGUACCCACAGAACGAAGCCCGGACUAACUUCGUGCCGAGCAGCCGC